rnacentral:rRNA from 1 species
UGGCGGACGGGUGAGUAACGCGUGGGUAACCUGCCUUGUACUGGGGGACAACAGUUAGAAAUGACUGCUAAUACCGCAUAAGCGCACAGUAUCGCAUGAUACAGUGUGAAAAACUCCGGUGGUACAAGAUGGACCCGCGUCUGAUUAGCUAGUUGGUAAGGUAACGGCUUACCAAGGCGACGAUCAGUAGCCGACCUGAGGGGGUGACCGGCCACAUUGGGACUGAGACACGGCCCAA